ACCUGCACGAGGAGCUGGGUAUUCUGUAGCCUCUAACUGAGAACCCAUUCCGUGCCAUGCUCUUUCCUUCGGCCAUUGUAACAAGGCUGCAAGACAGACAACGAUUGCUGUUCCCAUUUUGCAGCUUAGGAAACCGAAGCUCAGGGAAGUUAGACAACUUUCUCAGGGUCACAGCCAUGGUGAGCGGCAGAGCCAGCUUUUGACCCCGGGGUCUCACUGACCCCAGAGUUCACAGCAGAGUCGCAGAGCUUUCCUGGUGUCCAGCCUAGAGAGCACACAGUAGGUGCGCGGAGUGCGAGCUGAGCUGCCCUUCGAGAUGCAGUUCCGAGGGAAGUCUAGGUCCGGGAGACCCCAGCGGGUCCUGCAGAUAAAGGAAAGUUCUCCAGUCAGCCCCAGAGGAACGCUGAUCCCGAGGCAGGGCCCGAGGUUCCUGUUCGGGGCCUCCCUGCUGUGAAGGAGUCCUGGACCCCCGAGGUCCAUGGAAUUCUGCAGGGGAAGGACUGAUAUGGAGGCCUGUGGAAGUCACCGAGGAGCCCCUCUCAUACCACCUCACACUUAUUUCUUCAGGACUUCAAAGUGCCUCGCUGGGAGGAAACCAUAGGGGUCUGCCUGAAGCUGUAAAAGUAGCCGGCGGGAUUCGAUGUGUGCCCUGAUUGCCAGGGUGGGGCGGGGGGUGUAAAAGAGAGAAAGAUUAUACACAGGCCUAGGAAUGAUGAAAGGUCUUAAGCAAUGAGGGGGACUUGAAAAGAGGCGACCAACAGGUCGGCUGGUAUGCCUGGAGACGGGAGGCGGUGCGUGUGGAGAGCAGCAAGUGGUGCGGAAUGAGGCUGGGAAGGUGAACCUGGAGGCCCUCCCUGAGGCUGGAUUGUGGGAGGAGCGGUGGGCAGGACCUUGAACAUGACCCUGCGAGGCGGGCCGGGAGGGGGCGUGGCAUGGUGCAGCAGUGGGCGGGCUUUGGCUGGGGCUGGGCAUAGUCACGGCAGUGGGCGAGGUGUCGCCUGGCCCCGCCCCGUGGGUCCCACCCCGCGGGGUGCACCCCCCUCCCUGGAGCUCUGGCUGCGUGCUGGCUCCCAGAAGAGGAACCUGCUGCAGGCGCCGGCGCGGGCGGCGAGGACGACCUGUUUUUCUGACCCAGCCCGGAAGCGCUGGUGCAGGCCUUGA
rnacentral:lncRNA from 1 species